GCGGUAAGGCCCUUCGGGGUACACGAGCGGCGAACGGGUGAGUAACACGUGGGUGAUCUGCCUCGCACUCUGGGAUAAGCCUGGGAAACUGGGUCUAAUACCGGAUAUGACCACGGAUCGCAUGGUUUGUGGUGGAAAGAUUUAUCGGUGCGAGAUGGGCCCGCGGCCUAUCAGCUUGUUGGUGGGGUAAUGGCCUACCAAGGCGACGACGGGUAGCCGACCUGAGAGGGUGACCGGCCACACUGGGACUGAGACACGGCCCAGACUCCUACGGGAGGCAGCAGUGGGGAAUAUUGCACAAUGGGCGAAAGCCUGAUGCAGCGACGCCGCGUGAGGGAUGACGGCCUUCGGGUUGUAAACCUCUUUCGACAGGGACGAAGCGCGAGUGACGGUACCUGUAGAAGAAGCACCGGCCAACUACGUGCCAGCAGCCGCGGUAAUACGUAGGGUGCGAGCGUUGUCCGGAAUUACUGGGCGUAAAGAGCUUGUAGGCGGUUCGUCGCGUCGAUUGUGAAAACUUGCAGCUCAACUGCAAGCUUGCAGUCGAUACGGGCGGACUAGAGUACUUCAGGGGAGACUGGAAUUCCUGGUGUAGCGGUGAAAUGCGCAGAUAUCAGGAGGAACACCGGUGGCGAAGGCGGGUCUCUGGGAAGUAACUGACGCUGAGAAGCGAAAGCGUGGGUAGCGAACAGGAUUAGAUACCCUGGUAGUCCACGCCGUAAACGGUGGGUACUAGGUGUGGGUUUCCUUCCACGGGAUCCGUGCCGUAGCUAACGCAUUAAGUACCCCGCCUGGGGAGUACGGC
rnacentral:rRNA from 1 species